rnacentral:tRNA from 1 species
CUUUAGUAAGUAUAAUUUUGUAUAUUUGCCUUCCAAGCAAAAGGACUAUAAACGUAGACUAAAGA